AUGUUAACGUAUCAUACGUUAACAUCGGUUUUUUGAAAAAUUGAUGUUAACGUGUAUGCAUUAACAU
rnacentral:pre_miRNA from 1 species